UUUGCUCAUGGGCGAAAGCCUGAACAGCAACGCCGCGUGCGUGAUGAAGGUCUUCGGAUCGUAAAGCGCUUUUCUGGGAGAUGAGAAAGGACAGUAUCCCAGGAAUAAGUCUCGGCUAACUACGUGCCAGCAGCCGCGGUAAAACGUAGGAGGCAAGCGUUAUCCGGAUUCACNUGGGCGUAAAGCGCGUGCAGGUGGCGUGGUAAGUUGGAUGUGAAAUCUCCCGGCUCAACUGGGAGAGGUCAUUCAAUACUACCAUGCUUGAGAGCAGAAGAGGAAGAUGGAAUUCCCGGUGUAGUGGUGAAAUGCGUAGAUAUCGGGAGGAACACCAGUGGCGAAGGCGAUCUUCUGGUCUGUUUCUGACACUCAGACGCGACAGCUAGGGUAGUAAACGGGAUUAGAGACCCCGGUAAUCCUAGCCGUAAACGAUGUGAACUUGGCGUUGGUGGGUUAAACUCCAUCAGUGCCGUAGCAAACGCGAUAAGUUCACCGCCUGGGGACUACGGCCGCAAGGUUAAAACUCAAAGAAAUUGACGGA
rnacentral:rRNA from 1 species